AGGUGGUGCAUGGUUGUCGUCAGCUCGUGUCGUGAGAUGUUGGGUUAAGUCCCGCAACGAGCGCAACCCUCGACCUUAGUUGCCAGCAUUCAGUUGGGCACUCUAAGGUGACUGCCGGCUAAAAGUCGGAGGAAGGUGGGGAUGACGUCAAAUCAUCAUGCCCCUUAUGACCUGGGCUACACACGUGCUACAAUGGGCGGUACAAAGGGUCGCGAACCCGCGAGGGGGGAGCCAAUCCCAAAAAGCCGCUCUCAGUUCGGAUUGCAGGCUGCAACUCGCCUGCAUGAAGCCGGAAUCGCUAGUAAUCGCGGAUCAGCAUGCCGCGGUGAAUACGUUCCCGGGCCUU
rnacentral:rRNA from 1 species